ACCCAGACUCCUACGGGAGGCAGCAGUGAGGAAUAUUGGUCAAUGGGCUUACGCCUGAACCAGCCAAGUCGCGUGAGGGAAGACUGCCCUAUGGGUUGUAAACCUCUUUUGUCAGGGAGCAAUUGGCGCUACGUGUAGCGUUAUCGAGAGUACCUGAAGAAAAAGCAUCGGCUAACUCCGUGCCAGCAGCCGCGGUAAUACGGAGGAUGCGAGCGUUAUCCGGAUUUAUUGGGUUUAAAGGGUGCGUAGGCGGAUUGUAAGGUCGGCGGAAAACGCCCGGGCCUCACCCCCGGCGAGCCGUUGAAACUGGCUGUCUUGAGAUGUCGAGAGGUAUGCGGAAUGCGCAGUGUAGCGGUGAAAUGCUUAGAUAUUGCGCAGAACUCCGAUUGCGAAGGCAGCAUACCGGCGGCGAUCUGACGCUGAGGCACGAAAGCGUGGGUAUCGAACAGGAUUAGAUACCCGGGUA
rnacentral:rRNA from 1 species